CGGGAGGCAGCAGUGGGGAAUAUUGCACAAUGGGGGAAACCCUGAUGCAAGCAACGCCGCGUGGAGGAUGACACAUUUCGGUGCGUAAACUCCUUUUAUAUAGGAAGAUAAUGACGGUACUAUAUGAAUAAGCGCCGGCUAUACAAC
rnacentral:rRNA from 1 species